GUCACGUCUUUUUUUCCAGAUCGAGUUCACCCUGUUCACUGGUACGCGAUGAUUUCGGCUGAUUCAGAUUGGCCCCAAUUAUCGGUCGCAAGCGAGCAACUCCGGCCUCGUCUAGGUCGUCCUCACCAUAGACCCCAAGUGCCGCCGGACCUUGGAACUCCAUGACCUAUUCGUCGACGCUGCCGCACAGGUUGGACUCCACACAAGAGGAGCAGGAGAUCGAUCCAUACAUGCUUGCCUCCCAAUACUAUGAUGAGGAUUACCGGAGUCACCGCCUCACGAUCUACCAUCUCUAGAGUCAUCUUCAGGGAAGCGACACCAAGAGUCUGGUGAUCACUUGGCCAUGGAUGUAAAAUUGAGAUGACAGAAGAUGAUUAGAUCCUCAACCUCCACAGCUAGGUGUAGUGCGGUGUUGCCAUCAUUGUCCCGAGCGUUCAGUAUGGGCGCAAAAACUGGUGCUUCACAAGCAUAUUUUACUAUA